rnacentral:rRNA from 1 species
UACGUAGGGGGCAAGCGUUGUCCGGAAUCAUUGGGCGUAAAGCGCGCGCAGGCGGUCCUUUAAGUCUGAUGUGAAAGCCCACGGCUCAACCGUGGAGGGUCAUUGGAAACUGGGGGACUUGAGUGCAGAAGAGGAAAGUGGAAUUCCAAGUGUAGCGGUGAAAUGCGUAGAGAUUUGGAGGAACACCAGUGGCGAAGGCGACUUUCUGGUCUGUAACUGACGCUGAGGCGACGAAAGCGUGGGGAGCAAACAGG